ACUCCAAGGCUAAAUACUACCUAGUGACCGAUAGCGUAUAGUACCGGGAGGGAAAGGGGAAAAGAACCCCGGGAGGGGAGUGAAAUAGAACCUGAAACCCUGCACUUACAAGCUGUGGAAGCACAUUUCUUGUGUGACCGCGUACUUUUUGUAGAACGGGCCAACGAGUUACGUUAAGUAGCAAGGUUAAGCACUUAAGGUGCGGAGCCGUAGCGAAAGCGAGUUUUAACUGAGCGUUCAGUUACUUGACGUAGACCCGAAACCGGGCGACCUACCCAUGAGCAGGAUGAAG
rnacentral:rRNA from 1 species